GCAUUCUAGCGAUUUCAUUUCGCUGCUUGUUUCAGUGAACAAAUUGUCUGUAUAGCAAGCAUUUAUAUCUCAACGCGAAAUCUCUUCAAACACAAGUCGUUCUUUCCUUUACAAUCUCUGCAAUAUUACAAUACAGAACGAAACGAACGCCAUCCGUGAAACAUUCUACUCACUCUCCAGCCCCAGCCAAACUGCAAAGGCAACGAGGACGGCUGUCACUUGCCCAGAGAAGGAUCCCUCAACAUGCGGCGAAGCGAUCUUCCGGAAUUUACAUUCAAGCUCAGUGAUUUGAAAGAAUAUGAACAGGCGAAGAUGGAACGCUUAAUGAAGAGCAUUAAGCCACCCGAAAAACAGAAAGAAGAUACUGAUUCCACGGACGCGAAAAUGGAUCGCUCAAUAAAAAACCUAAAGUUGCCCGAGAACCAGAAGGAAGAUACUGAUUCCAAUCGCAGUUAAGCUAUUUUAUUAUAAAUUUAUGGUAUACUACAAGUUUAGUCAUUUUGGCCAAACCAUGCGCUCUUUGUAUAUCCAUCACAAAUUAAAAAUUAAAAUAAAUAAAACUUUGGA